UCCAACAGUUGUCAGCUGUCCAGGCUGUGGUGCCUGUGACUGUGUUACACUGUUGGGAGAAUAAGCGCUGUUCUAUUGGGGGUGGCUCCGCACUGUUUUGGUGUCGGUGCCAAAUACCUUCAGGCAGUGUUUUGCAUCCCUGAGAGUGGAAUGGCUCCUUGUGGAGUUGGUCCUAGUCUAGGUGCAAACAAU